rnacentral:rRNA from 1 species
AGCGAACGCUGGCGGCAGGCUUAACACAUGCAAGUCGAGCGGGCACUUCGGUGUCAGCGGCAGACGGGUGAGUAACACGUGGGAACGUACCCUUUGGUUCGGAAUAACGCUGGGAAACUAGCGCUAAUACCGGAUACGCCCUUUUAGGGAAAGGCUUGCUGCCGAAGGAUCGGCCCGCGUCUGAUUAGCUAGUUGGUGGGGUAAUGGCCUACCAAGGCGACGAUCAGUAGCUGGUCUGAGAGGAUGAUCAGCCACACUGGGACUGAGACACGGCCCAGACUCCUACGGGAGGCAGCAGUGGGGAAUAUUGGACAAUGGGCGCAAGCCUGAUCCAGCCAUGCCGCGUGAGUGAUGAAGGCCUUAGGGUUGUAAAGCUCUUUUGUCCGGGACGAUAAUGACGGUACCGGAAGAAUAAGCCCCGGCUAACUUCGUG